AACAGAACAUGCGCACGAAAAAUUUCAUGGCAGGCAUCUUCUUUGAGCCGUUGAAUGAAAUGGAUUUCCACAUAUCCAACGAUUAUAAAAACAUGCACAUUAUAUGUAGAUUCUCUCAAAAUCUCUACACAUUUUUGAAACAUAGUUCAUGGAAUCACAGUCCAUCACAGCUUGACUAAUGUAUCAACAUGAUUUUCAAUGAUAUCAUUGUAGAUGGAGUUUGAUGAUGUGUCAAGUGCUGAUUGGUUCACAAUAGAGACUAGUAUAUUCUUCUCCCAUCUUGGACCCACAGGUCCUUGGUGCUUUAAUGUCCACUAUGCAAAUGAUUGAGGAAGAUCAUGCCAAAAAGAAAGCUAAAAUAUUUGCAAUUAUAACAGAACUAUAAUAAAAUUGCAGUUCUUACCCAUAACAAUCUUGGGAACAUAUUAGAUUAUAAAUAAGCGAAAAAGCUUGAAAGACUUCUGUUUUAGCGAUUGUAAUGAGGAAGGUUUUCUUAUGUCUCCCACAUCAACUUAGUUCUAAUCCCUUAAAAUCCAUAAAACAACAUAGAAUCAAGGUCAGGAAAUAUUUAGGAUCCACAUUUAAUGGAUAAGGUAUCCUUACUCCUUAUCUAAAACCUGUUGCAGAAUUGUUAAGUUCCACACAAGAAGCCAAUUGAUGCAGAACCAAGGGAACAAUGGGAUGAGAAACAAAUUUUCAAACUUUUAUUAAUUCUCAAUCUUAAUCAUCACAAUAGGCUCUCAAUAAAAUACCUUAACUUCCUAAUUCUAUAUUAAAUAUAAUUUCUAAGUUUAGUCUUCUUCCAAUACUGGAUCACCAAUUAUUCUUUAUUUAAAGCUACAUUUCAUUAUUCUUAAUAGAUUGUGUUAUGGUUGUGGUUCAUGUUCAAAGAGAUGCAUUAUAACUUAGAGAUCCAAAUGAAAGGGGAUUUCAUGCCUGGAGGGGUUAGGACAAUUGUAAUUAUGAGGAUUAAUUUUGUAAUUUAGACAUGGUUUUAAAUAACGGCCAUUACGCUAUAUAACGGCCAUUACGCUAUAUAACAGCCAUUAUUUAAAGUUUUUUAGUCUGCCCUUAUCGUUACAUCCGUUAUUUAAAGGCAACAGAAAA
rnacentral:misc_RNA from 1 species